GACGAACGCUGGCGGCGUGCCUAAUACAUGCAAGUAGAACGCUGAAGGAGGAGCUUGCUUCUCUGGAUGAGUUGCGAACGGGUGAGUAACGCGUAGGUAACCUGCCUGGUAGCGGGGGAUAACUAUUGGAAACGAUAGCUAAUACCGCAUAAGAGUAGAUGUUGCAUGACAUUUGCUUAAAAGGUGCAAUUUCAUCACUACCAGAUGGACCUGCGUUGUAUUAGCUAGUUGGUGGGGUAACGGCUCACCAAGGCGACGAUACAUAGCCGACCGGAGAGGGGGAGCGGCCACACUGGGACUGAGACACGGCCCAGACUCCUACGGGAGGCAGCAGUAGGGAAUCUUCGGCAAUGGACGGAAGUCUGACCGAGCAACGCCGCGUGAGUGAAGAAGGUUUUCGGAUCGUAAAGCUCUGUUGUAAGAGAAGAACGAGUGUGAGAGUGGAAAGUUCACACUGUGACGGUAGCUUACCAGAAAGGGACGGCUAACUACGUG
rnacentral:rRNA from 1 species